UGGGGAAUUUUGGACAAUGGGCGAAAGCCUGAUCCAGCCAUGCCGCGUGAGUGAAGAAGGCCUUCGGGUUGUAAAGCUCUUUUAGUCGGAAAGAAAGAGUUGCAAUGAAUAAUUGUGAUUUAUGACGGUACCGACAGAAAAAGCACCGGCUAACUACGUGCCAGCAGCCGCGGUAAUACGUAGGGUGCGAGCGUUAAUCGGAAUUACUGGGCGUAAAGGGUGCGCAGGCGGUCUUGCAAGUCAGAUGUGAAAGCCCCGGGCUUAACCUGGGAAUUGCGUUUGAAACUACAAGACUAGAGUGCAGCAGAGGGGAGUGGAAUUCCAUGUGUAGCAGUGAAAUGCGUAGAGAUGUGGAAGAACACCGAUGGCGAAGGCAGCUCCCUGGGUUGACACUGACGCUCAUGCACGAAAGCGUGGGGAGCAAGCA
rnacentral:rRNA from 1 species